CCGUCCGUAGCUCAGUGGAUAGAGCAAUAUGCUCCGACCGUAUGUGUCGCAGGUUCAAUUCCUGCCGGGCGGGCCA
rnacentral:tRNA from 1 species